rnacentral:rRNA from 1 species
ACAUGCAAGUCGAGCGAGCGGAACCAACAGAUUUACUUCGGUAAUGACGUUGGGAAAGCGAGCGGCGGAUGGGUGAGUAACACGUGGGGAACCUGCCCCUAAGUCUGGGAUACCAUUUGGAAACAGGUGCUAAUACCGGAUAAUAAAGCAGAUCGCAUGAUCAGCUUUUGAAAGGCGGCGUAAGCUGUCGCUAAGGGAUGGCCCCGCGGUGCAUUAGCUAGUUGGUAAGGUAACGGCUUACCAAGGCGACGAUGCAUAGCCGAGUUGAGAGACUGAUCGGCCACAUUGGGACUGAGACACGGCCCAAACUCCUACGGGAGGCAGCAGUAGGGAAUCUUCCACAAUGGACGCAAGUCUGAUGGAGCAACGCCGCGUGAGUGAAGAAGGUUUUCGGAUCGUAAAGCUCUGUUGUUGGUGAAGAAGGAUAGAGGUAGUAACUGGCCUUUAUUUGACGGUAAUCAACCAGAAAGUCACGGCUAACUACGUGCCAGCAGCCGCGGUAAUACGUAGGUGGCAAGCGUUGUCCGGAUUUAUUGGGCGUAAAGCGAGCGCAGGCGGAAAAAUAAGUCUAAUGUGAAAGCCCUCGGCUUAACCGAGGAACUGCAUCGGAAACUGUUUUUCUUGAGUGCAGAAGAGGAGAGUGGAACUCCAUGUGUAGCGGUGGAAUGCGUAGAUAUAUGGAAGAACACCAGUGGCGAAGGCGGCUCUCUGGUCUGCAACUGACGCUGAGGCUCGAAAGCAUGGGUAGCGAACAGGAUUAGAUACCCUGGUAGUCCAUGCCGUAAACGAUGAGUGCUAAGUGUUGGGAGGUUUCCGCCUCUCAGUGCUGCAGCUAACGCAUUAAGCACUCCGCCUGGGGAGUACGACCGCAAGGUUGAAACUCAAAGGAAUUGACGGGGGCCCGCACAAGCGGUGGAGCAUGUGGUUUAAUUCGAAGCAACGCGAAGAACCUUACCAGGUCUUGACAUCUAGUGCAAUCU